GAGUUUGAUCCUGGCUCAGGACGAACGCUGGCGGCGUGCUUAACACAUGCAAGUCGAACGGAAAGGCCCCGCUCGCGGGGUACUCGAGUGGCGAACGGGUGAGUAACACGUGGGUGAUCUGCCCUGCACUUCGGGAUAAGCCUGGGAAACUGGGUCUAAUACCGGAUAUGACCUCCCUUUAGUGUGGGGGGUGGAAAGAUUUAUCGGUGCAGGAUGAGCCCGCGGCCUAUCAGCUUGUUGGUGGGGUAAUGGCCUACCAAGGCGUCGACGGGUAGCCGGCCUGAGAGGGUGGACGGCCACAUUGGGACUGAGAUACGGCCCAGACUCCUACGGGAGGCAGCAGUGGGGAAUAUUGCACAAUGGGCGGAAGCCUGAUGCAGCGACGCCGCGUGGGGGAUGACGGCCUUCGGGUUGUAAACCUCUUUCGACAGGGACGAAGUGAAAAUGACGGUACCUGUAUAAGAAGCACCGGCUAACUACGUGCCAGCAGCCGCGGUAAUACGUAGGGUGCGAGCGUUGUCCGGAAUUACUGGGCGUAAAGAGCUCGUAGGUGGUUUGUCACGUCGUCUGUGAAAUUCCGGGGCUUAACCUCGGGCGUGCAGGCGAUACGGGCAAUACUUGAGUGCUGUAGGGAGACUGGAAUUCCUGGUGUAGCGGUGAAAUACGCAGAUAUCAGGAGGAACACCAAUGGCGAAGGCAGGUCUCUGGGCAGUUACUGACGCUGAGGAGCGAAAGCAUGGGUAGCGAACAGGAUUAGAUACCCUGGUAGUCCAUGCCGUAAACGGUGGGCGCUAGGUGUAGGGGACUUCCACGUUCUCUGCGCCGUAGCUAACGCAUUAAGCGCCCCGCCUGGGGAGUACGGCCGCAAGGCUAAAACUCAAAGGAAUUGACGGGGGCCCGCACAAGCGGCGGAGCAUGUGGAUUAAUUCGAUGCAACGCGAAGAACCUUACCUGGGCUUGACAUACACCGGACCGGCGUAGAGAUACGUCUUCCCUUGUGGCCGGUGUACAGGUGGUGCAUGGUUGUCGUCAGCUCGUGUCGUGAGAUGUUGGGUUAAGUCCCGCAACGAGCGCAACCCUUGUCUUAUGUUGCCAGCACGUGAUGGUGGGGACUCCUGAGAGACUGCCGGGGUCAACUCGGAGGAAGGUGGGGAUGACGUCAAAUCAUCAUGCCCCUUAUGUCCAGGGCUUCACACAUGCUACAAUGGUCGGUACAGCAGGUCGCGAACUCGUGAGAGUAAGCCAAUCCUUCAAAGCCGGCCUCAGUCCGGAUUGGGGUCUGCAACUCGACCCCAUGAAGUCGGAGUCGCUAGUAAUCGCAGAUCAGCAACGCUGCGGUGAAUACGUUCCCGGGCCUGUACACAC
rnacentral:rRNA from 1 species